rnacentral:rRNA from 1 species
UACGGGGGAGCAAGCGUUGUUCGGAUUUACUGGGCGUAAAGGGCGCGUAGGCGGCCAGCACAAGUCAGUUGUGAAAUCUCCGGGCUUAACUCGGAAAGGUCACUGAUACUGUGCGGCUAGAGUGCAGAAGGGGCAACUGGAAUUCUCGGUGUAGCGGUGAAAUGCGUAGAUAUCGAGAGGAACACCUGCGGCGAAGGCGGGUGCUGGGCUGACACUGACGCUGAUGCGCGAAAGCCAGGGGAGCGAACGGG